rnacentral:rRNA from 1 species
UGGGGANUAUUGCGCAAUGGGGGGAACCCUGACGCAGCCAUGCCGCGUGAAUGAAGAAGGCCUUCGGGUUGUAAAGUUCUUUCGGUAUUGAGGAAGGUUGAUGUGUUAAUAGCACAUCAAAUUGACGUUAAAUACAGAAGAAGCACCGGCUAACUCCGUGCCAGCAGCCGCGGUAAUACGGAGGGUGCGAGCGUUAAUCGGAAUAACUGGGCGUAAAGGGCACGCAGGCGGUUAUUUAAGUGAGGUGUGAAAGCCCCGGGCUUAACCUGGGAAUUGCAUUUCAGACUGGGUAACUAGAGUACUUUAGGGAGGGGUAGAAUUUCACNNNGNAGCGGUGAAAUGCGUANAGAUGUGGAGGAAUACCGAANGCGAAGGCAGCCCCUUGGGAAUGUACUGACGCUCAUGUGCGAAAGCGUGNGGAGCAAACAGGAUUANAUACCCUGGUAGUCCACGCUGNNNCNCUGUCGAUUUGGGGGUUGGGGUUUAACUCUGGCGCCCGUANCUNCGUGAUAAAUCGACCGCCUGGGGAGUACGGCCGCAAGGUUA